AUAACUGGCUUGUGGCAGCCAAGCGUUCAUAGCGACGUUGCUUUUUGAUCCUUCGAUGUCGGCUCUUCCUAUCAUUGCGAAGCAGAAUUCGCCAAGCGUCGGAUUGUUCACCCGCCAAUAGGGAACGUGAGCUG
rnacentral:rRNA from 1 species